rnacentral:rRNA from 1 species
UUGACCUCGGAUCAGGUAGGAAUACCCGCUGAACUUAAGCAUAUCAAUAAGCGGAGGAAAAGAAACCAACAGGGAUUGCCUCAGUAACGGCGAGUGAAGCGGCAAUAGCUCAAAUUUGAAAUCUGGUCCUUUUAGGGCCCGAGUUGUAAUUUGUAGAAGAUGCUUCGAGUGUGGCACCGGUCUAAGUUCCUUGGAACAGGACGGCCACAGAGGGUGAGAGCCCCGUACGCGACCGCGCGCCUACGCUCGGGUGAAGCUCUUUCAACGAGUCGAGCUGUUUGGGAAUGCAGCUCUAAAUGGGUGGUAAAUUUCAUCUAAAGCUAAAUACUAGCCAGAGACCGAUAGCGCACAAGUAGAGUGAUCGAAAGAUGAAAAGCACUUUGGAAAGAGAGUCAAACAGUACGUGAAAUUGUUGAAAGGGAAGCGCUUACAACCAGACUUGCGCGCAGCCGAUCAUCCGGAGUUCUCUCCGGUGCCCUCGGUUGCACGCAGGCCAGCACCAGUUUCGGUAGUCGGAUAAAGGCCCUAAGAAUGUGGCUCCUCUCCAGGAGUGUUAUAGCCUAGGGUGCCAUGCGACUUACUGGGACUGAGGACCGCGCUCGGCU